rnacentral:rRNA from 1 species
AUUGAACGCUGGCGGCAGGCCUAACACAUGCAAGUCGAGCGGAUGAAGGGAGCUUGCUCCUGGAUUCAGCGGCGGACGGGUGAGUAAUGCCUAGGAAUCUGCCUGGUAGUGGGGGAUAACGUCCGGAAACGGGCGCUAAUACCGCAUACGUCCUGAGGGAGAAAGUGGGGGAUCUUCGGACCUCACGCUAUCAGAUGAGCCUAGGUCGGAUUAGCUAGUUGGUGGGGUAAAGGCCUACCAAGGCGACGAUCCGUAACUGGUCUGAGAGGAUGAUCAGUCACACUGGAACUGAGACACGGUCCAGAAUCCUACGGGAGGCAGCAGUGGGGAAUAUUGGACAAAGGGCGAAAGCCUGAUCCAGCCAUGCCGCGUGUGUGAAGAAGGUCUUCGGAUUGUAAAGCACUUUAAGUUGGGAGGAAGGGCAGUAAGUUAAUACCUUGCUGUUUUGACGUUACCAACAGAAUAAGCACCGGCUAACUUCGUG